rnacentral:lncRNA from 8 species
CUCAUUUACAGGUCAAAUUGAUAGAUCAACAUAUGUUAGCUAUUACAGUACAUUAGAUAAUGCAUUUAAUAUUUAACCACUAUGCUGUAGUAAGAGAUUCAUGAAUCACUUGAUAUGGUUUAAUGAAUGGCUUGAAACGGAUUGCUCCAUACCUGCUUUGUAAUCAAAAGUUAUAUUUUACACAAAAGUUCACAAAUAACUGCUCCUACACUCAAUUAUUUUGACAUUUAGAAAAACAGUCCCAAUCUGAUGGUGGACACCACAUUUACAAUGCCAGCCUUUCAUGCCUAUGCCCAUGAUGCUGACUGUCAGGUCAAUGAUGGUACCAGGUAUGUGACUGGCAGUGGGCUUGCUGACAGAGAACAGAUGGAGAGGUUGUGGUCCUACCUUAGAAAAUUAGGGAAGAUCACAAAAGAGAUGACACCCUCACCGAUGCCCUCCUCUACUACGCAGCCAGGGUCAGGAAGAAGCAAGGACAUUGGAAGAGUGGUGGUAGAAGCGAUGGGCUUUUUUGCUUUGCCUGGAUUAAGUUAUGAGCCACCAAAACAUGAGGGAAAGUACUUUUCAAACCAAGCUGAUAAGUGAUAACAUUAUGCCCGAAUGUAAUAUGUACUGCAUUUUAAGGAGAACUUCCAUUGUAUGUAUUGCUGUUUAUAAUUUAAAGUGAAAGCUAAUAAGUAUAUAUUGGGGAUAGUAUCAUUGUAUGAAUGUUGUGGUGGAAAUUCUACCUUUAACUAAUAACGAGG